UUGGUAGUGCACUUAAAUUGCAGGUGAUAGUGAGCUCCUGUGUUUGUUGUUAUGCGGCAUCUCUGUGGAUGCAAUUAGUUGAGGGGAAGUGUAUAUUUUCGCACCGGUGCCGUUCCCGCAAGUCACAGUAGAAUGGUUCUAACGAAGGAGUAUAGGAUAUGUAUGCCAUUGACAGUUGAAGAGUAUCAGAUAGGGCAGUUGUACAUGAUUGCUCGACAUAGCCAUGAACAAACAGAUUCUGGAGAAGGUGUUGAGGUGAUAGAAAACACUGCCUGCGAGGAUCCAGAAUAUGGGAAUGGCCAGUACACGGAGAAAAGGAUUCAUCUCUCUAGUAGACUUCCAUACUGGGUUCAGUCAUUGAUACCACGAGUAUUCUACGUUACAGAGAAAGCAUGGAAUUACUACCCAUUCACAAUUACAGAAUACACUUGCUCAUUCAUACCAAAAUUCAACAUAUCCAUCAAGACAAAAUAUGAAAACAACAAUGGUUCUACUGAAAAUGUUUUUUGGUGCCUCAACCUGACGCCAGAGGUCCUAGCUGAGAGAAGUAUAGAUGAAAUAGACAUUGCGUACGAUGAAGUUAGUCCUAAACACUAUAAAGAGGAAGAGGAUUUGAGAUUCUUCAGAUCGCAAAAGACUGGUAGAGGGCCACUUGUUGAAGGAUGGCGAGAUAAAACAUCUCCUAUUAUGUGUUCUUACAAAUUAGUCCAAGUUUCAUUUGAAGUUUGGGGACUACAGACAAGAGUUGAAGAAAUGAUACAAAGAUCAAUAAGGGAAAUCUUAUUACUGGGCCACAGACAAGCAUUUGCCUGGAUCGAUGAAUGGCAUGGAAUGACUUUGGAAGAUGUACGUGCAUAUGAAGGACGCAUGCAAAAGGAGACAAAUACAAAGGUAACUGGUGGGAACACAGAACCUCCUUCCAGUCCAAGACCGUCUACUGCAGGGGCGCCUGUAGAUGCACUUACAAACAUCACAGACACACCUGCUGCUCUGCCUGAUACUGACACAUCAAGUGUCACACCAGCUGAUAGCGUUCCUGACACUCCAAAAACUCCUAGGUCUUGGUUCUCUUGGUCAUAAGAUGUUGUCAUCUUGCGUAUCUCUAAUGUUUGAGCCUUUGUUGCCAACAGUAUCUGAUCUGCAAUCAGUGUUGACUUUCAGUUGUUAUAUUUUGAUGUACUAUUGAUAAGUUAUUUAUGGUCGUGGCUUUCUGUGCUCUGACAGAGUGAUAAGAUCUCCUUCCUGCUUAUCAUGACAAGUACAAAGCAUUGUCUGCAGCAAUAUUUAAUGUUACCUGUUGCAUUUGUGCAAUUAAAAAUGUAAAUUAAUGUUAGCUAUCAGAAAUAUUAUUUAUAAAACAGUUCCUUUUACAUUUUGACAAAAGGGUGAUAAUAUUAAGUUAAUAGUAAAGUUUUUCUUUCACAUCUGUCAUGUACUUGUGGAGAGCUGUUUCAUCUUUACAUGCUUGUCUUUAACAUGUUAAUUCAGUUUAACUACUUGACAGUUUGUAAACUGUCUUCUUCAAACUUGAUCGGCAAGUGAACAUACCACAAGAAUGCGCAUGAAAAGUCUUCGAAUUGCAUCUGAUGUUACUGAUUAUUGUCAACUGCAGAUUCAUUCCUGGCAUAAUCAAUUAGCAUAUAAUUGAAAGUAAGCUUUACCUGUUUUGCACUGGUCUUGUCAUCCUUGUAUAAAACAUUUGACUUCUUUGUAAGAUAGAAGAUAGUCUUCUGUUAUUUUAAUUUUGUACUAUUGUUCCACACAGUAUCUAUGACUUAUUAAAAUACCUCUUUAAUGAGAAGAAGAGAGUAUUAAUGCACAAAAUUGUAUUGUGAUUAUUGGAAAAAUUUUAGUGAAUGUUUUUUUGACAGCUAUUCAUAUAUUCUUGUAAAUUUUAUAUUUUCUUCAAGAAAUGCAAUUUUUUUCCAAAUGUGAAAUGCAGAGCUUUCUUAAUAGUUUUAGCAGUUGGCAUAUAUAACUGCACUAUACGUAUUAGCCAUCAUUAAUGUGAUAUGUAUUGAAAAUCCUUAAAUGUGUGUGUAUGUUUGUUCCUAAAAUUUAGGCUGUCCUAAAAAAAUACAGUAGAGAGAGAUUUCCUGUGUAGAAGAUUGUUUUAAUUUUUUUUUUAAUUUUUUUAUUUGGAAUGAUUUUCUGUGUAAUUAGUACUUGAUGUGGCAGUGCCAUUACAGAGUUUAUGUAACUUUACUAUAUUGCCACAUAAUCAACUCUCACCAUGUGGAUGAUAGAAAAAAAUUAUAUCGAAAUAGUUUAUACAUGUUUCUUUGCAGUUUGAUAUAGAUACUCUACUUAAUUCGCUAACAUCCAGGUAUAACGUAGUUAAAAUUCUAUGUAAAAUCUGUUUGCUUGUAAACAUUGAAAAAAUGUUUGCCAUUUGUAUCCUUACAUCAAAAUGAGAUGAUAAAUUUAGUUUUUAUGACCCAAUACCUUAUAGCAUUGAAUGUUUCCAUCUGAUAAACUGAAAUGAAAAUGGGACAUGAACAUAGUAUUUAAUGUACAAUGUUAUUGUUCAUAUUUUAAAUUUAAUUGGAACAAUUAGAGUUCAAUCACUUGUAACUACAGUAAAGAGCUGUUUGUCAUUAGAGCUCUUGUUGUCCAACUGUACAAAAAGUGGUGAAUUUGUGCUACUUAUGAAAACAGGUUACAACAACCAGGCCACAUCAGUAAUUAUUCAUUUGGAAAAAAAGUAGUCCAUCAACAUGACGGGAGACUAGACAUUUAGGCACAAUGAGAGGUUUGUACAAACCCUGCUAUGUAUGUCCUAUGGUUAUCCAGAGAGUAAGUUUCCUUAGCACCAUAAAGACAUAGAAUACAUUUACUUGGAGACUUUAAUUGGAACAAAUAUAGUGGUCAGUAUAUUUACUGCCUGGUACUGAGACUUUUGUGUUGGUGUGUGCUGCACCUGGGUUUGAAAUUAAUAUUCAGUACACGUCAUCAGUGGAAAAAUGUUGGCUGAAUGAUUUAGGUAUGAGAAAAGAUGCAAAUAGUUGUAAAAAAUAUCAGUACUAUGGAACAGAAGGGGAAACACAUAUCUGCCGGACAUAUAGUGCUCUUAAAGGUAGGUGGAUGAGAAAUAUUGUGGAUUAUCACAUCACCUCAAUUAAGCAUCUCAUACAUCUUAUUCUGAACUUUCUAUUCUAAUAUCCAGGAUUAGUGUAUGUGUGGGAAAUGGUUGCUUAUUCCACAGUCAUAAAGCAGUAUUUCUCCAUUGUGAGCUGAUGCAUCUGAUUUACAUUGUUGUUAUUUAUGAGGAACAACCACCUUAAGUUCGUGUAAUCAUAGGAAGUUUGAUCACCUUGGACAUAUUUUAUCCAUAAAUAUUGUAAUAUAUGUGCUUGCUCAUCAUGUACAGUCCAUAAACUAGAUGACUCUGAUGUGGAUUAAUGUUCAGUACUAUUUUGUGUCCUUUGAAUGAUUGAAGUACAGAUUUGUGGAGAUAUCCACAUCAUGCUUGUACAUUUCUGUUUUGGAAUGUGCGUUCUGCUGUUCUUUGACAGCCGUGAGACACUUACUUCCUAUGAAUUUUUAUUAGUCAAAUAUUUUGGUUUAUCUGAAAUGAUAAGUUAAAUUUUUUAAUGUGGCUGCAUGAGUCUGCAGUCAGGGAACAAUCAUAUCUUAAUUGUAAUGUGGAUUUUUUUUUUUCAUUUGGAUGUUAGAAAAUUAACUCAAAAUGAUAAAGUCAAGAGAGCCUGUGAGAACCUAUCUUACAACAAGCAACUCUAUAAAAGAAUCUCCCUCUCUAAAUGCAAACUGCAAAAGUUCUAGAGUACGUCCAUAGACCAAACUGAUAUAUCAUUUAUUUAUUUGUAUGUGUGUGUUGUGGGGGGGGGGGGGGGGGGGGGUAAUAAACUUUCUUUUCCAUUUCACAAGGCACAAUUUUUUGGCAAUAAAGGUUUGCUUCCUGGUUACAUUCUAGAUUUCAAAGUUGUGCAGUUAAUUUGUUUAUUUAAAUUAUGACUCAGUUUUGUGAAAGAUUGUCUAUGGUAUGUUAGUUUAUUCCACUUCAAGCACAAUCAAAACUGUGAGAAAAACACUGGUGUUCAUUAAAGAACUGAGACGUAUUUAAGUAUGGUAUUAAUUGUGUGCUUCCUUGCAAAGUGUUUGCUCGUUAAUGUGCUCCUCCCACCCCACACUGUGUGUGUGUGUGUGUGUGUGUGUGUGUGUGUGUGUGUGUGUGUGUGUGUGUGUGUGUGUGUGUGUGUGUGUGUGUGCG